UACGUAGGGGGCAAGCGUUGUCCGGAAUCAUUGGGCGUAAAGGGCGCGUAGGCGGCCUCCUAAGUCAGACGUGAAAUCCCUCGGCUCAACCGGGGAACUGCGUCUGAUACUGGGAGGCUUGAAUCCGGGAGAGGGAUGUGGAAUUCCAGGUGAUAGCGGUGAAAUGCGUAGAUAUCUGGAGGAACACCGGUGGCGAAGGCGGCAUCCUGGACCGGUAUUGACGCUGAUGCGCGAAAGCCAGGGGAGCAAACGGG
rnacentral:rRNA from 1 species